GGCAGCGUGGUGUAGUGGCUAGAGUGUCAGACUAGAACCUGAAAGACCAGGGUUCAAAUCCCUGCUUCGCCA